rnacentral:lncRNA from 1 species
UACGUUUAUUCUUAAGCCUAGCUAAUGUAUUGGCUUAAAAAAACCCUUAAAUUAAUGAACCACAAUAAUCUUUUUUUUGGUCAAUGAAACUUUUUAUAACAAAGUCCAAGAGGACAUAGUACAAAGACUCCACAACGAAGGUGAGGAAAUAACAACCGCCCCAUAAACGGGGUUGGUACAAACGGGACGCUUUAUGCAAUCAAAUGCAUUAGAAAAGGUUCCCAUCUAUACCUAAAACAAAAAUUACAUAGAAUGUGUCUCAGCCUAAAAACUAAGACCUACACAGCCCAAACAUGACCACACAAAAGAACCUAAAAACCCUAAAGGAAAAUUCACCCGCCACCUCCCCAGCUGCAGAAUUGGUGAAGACGACCAUCAAUCAUAUCCAAGUAAAACAUCUAACAUGCCCUGAUCCCAAAAUCUCCAAAUACCAGGAUAGGCACUUGUUGACCGACACCUAAGGGUGACGAAGUCAUUUAAAACAUGCAUACAACUAAAAUAUGCAUUUAGAAAGAGAUAUACCAAUGCAUAAUCUUGUUCAGAGCAUACAACUAAUCAAGAAUAAUGUGAAAGAAUGAAUAUAAAAAGGUAUGAACAAAGGAAGGGGUCCUAACCUGAAAAGACUCGGAGAUCCCUACGCGGAAUUGCCCUAAUGCCGAGAUUGUGUACCUCGAUUCUAUCUCCUGAGGGGGCUCAAAAAUAGAAAAGUUGAGUGGACCAAAGUUUAUAUUAAUACCAAUAAUAGGAAAACCAUUUUAUUUAGGAACAUACUAACCCCCUGUUUUGAAAACAUAUAUAUAAUACUACAUAUUAAGUUUUUUUGAAAAUUCUAGCAUGCAAUGAAAACUUUCGUAAAACAUGUAUAAUGUAAAACCAUGCUCAAUAAUGGUGCUAUCGCUGCCCGAAGGCAAAUAUGUAAAUCUCAUCAUAGUGUACUCUCUAGGGGUAUCAUAGUCGCCUGAAGGCAGUACCUGUCCCUCACCCGAAUGUGAAUUUGUAUGACACUGGGUUACGUUAGUGAAGAAAACAUGGUCUAUCACCCGAAUGUGAAGCUGUACGACUCCAGGUUAUGUCGGAGAAGAGGAUAUACAACAUCACACACCGAAACUAGCCCCAGGCUAGUGAAGCUGGGGGUAUAUCAUCAAUAUCAUCUACUUCUCAUUCGCCUUAAGGCAAUACCUGUCCAUCACCCAAAGAUGAAAUUGUACGACACUGGGUUAUGCCAAUGAAGAAACCAUGGUCCAUCACCCGAAGGUGAAGCUGUACGACUCCAUGUUACGUCUGAGAAGAGGUAUAUACAUAAACAUCCUCAACUGUGUCCUAUGGCCAUAGACAUUUACAUACCCGUGUUGUGUGGAUGUGAUGUAUGAUAACCCGCUAGAUAAGCACCAAUAACAUCCUAAAAUAUCUCAUAUCAAAUACGGAGCUCAAAAGCUCAAAAGCUCAUCUCAUAAAUCUAUGAUAACACAUAUUCAUAAAUCCGUAAAAUACAUCAUAUUCAAAAGCCAUAGAAUUUCAUAUACGAGAAUCUAAAUAUUCAUAACCUUUUGUAAAACGUAAAUUCGAGAAAUCAUAAAUAUUUCGUAAAAGAAAUUUAAAUAAAUUGUAAGUAUGGAAAUCCAUAAAACAUAUUAUAAAUAAUGCUCUAUUCAUGAAAUAUGCAAUGCAUGCAAGCAUAAUAUUUUAUAAAAACAUGUAAGUUUAGAAAGGGUCCACUCACAGUAUUCCAUUGCCCGUAAACUCUCGAACUAGCCAGGAUGGUGCCACUUCCCACCGACACACCUACACAUAUAGGGACCAUUUAGUAAAACUUUAUUAAAACGGUUGAAUUUCAGAAAACGGAUAGUGGAUUUGGAUUUGGCAUGUCAAAAAACCUAAAGAGGGACCUCGAGUUCCUCUACGCGUCUCCACACGCACGGUCACAAGGCGAGUUGCCAAGACGGCUACGACCCACCAUAAUGCUGCCGCCCGGACGACCACGAGCGGCCACGCGCAGAGAUGGGUCAUUGAAAAGUUCACCGGAAAAGUUAUCGGCACAAUACAUUCAGCAGAGGCGAGUGUGCUUCACGUGCCGGCCCACGCACGAACAUGAAAGUUGUCUUAGGUCCCGAUCGGGUUGGAUCUGUGUUGGGUUGCUGGAUUGGGCAGGGGUUACUCGGUUGGAUUGGGUUAAUGGGUUGGGCCUGAUACUGGUUUGGGCUUAGGUUACAUAGGCCCAAGGUUUGGGUUAUAUGGCCCAGAGGUUUGGGCUGAGUUAAUGGAUUGGGUUCCUGGAUUACGGGUCAGGUCCACCCGAUUAGGUUUGCGGGUGACACCCACCAAAUUUGAGGAAGAAGAAGGUUGUAUUUCAGCUAGGAAAUUUCCUGAGCUUUAAAUGAGCUCAAAUCUUAACCAUUUCCUACGAUAUAAAAGCCAAAAUAAAGGUAGGGAGAUAAUGAAUGAGAUUAUACCUUUGUGGUCCCUCAUAGUGGCUGAAGCUGGCCUGAAAACGGCUUGAAAACUGUCGGGUUUUUCAUCGAAAUCUGGAAAUUAACCUCCCGAGUUGUUUUCUUUACAAACCUUCACCACAAUGCCUAAGAUGGGUCAAUUAGGGUUUGAUCGAUCUACAAUGAAGGUUAGAGAGAGAAAGAGUCUCGAGGCUUACCCAUGUCAGAAACGGCGAAACUCAUCGAAAAACUCCUUGCACAGUGAUGGUGUAAUAGUGUAGUGAGAAAGAAAGAUGAGGAGAGGCUUCAGACGGUCUGGGGUCGUGAGGGGGAGGUCUCGAAUGUGGUGUGGUCGCCGGAGUAUGAGCCACGGUCGUAGUGAGUGGUGGUGUGUUCAGAGGGAAAUGUUACAGAGAUGAAGAAGAGAAAAUGAGAGGUAGCUGGGAGGAGAGAUAAGAGGUGAGGGGGUGAGAAAGAGUGUGUCACGGGAGAGAAAAGAGAGGGAGAGAGUUCCAGAGAGAGGGAGAGAUGUCACGGAACAAAGGAACACCCCAGAAACUAGGGUCACCUGCCACGUGUCAACCUGAGAGUGGUCCAAGGUGGAAAAUAUCUCGACUUGAAAAAUUACCAAAAUACCCUUAUUGUUUUGAGUCCGGUAAAAUAUUCGUUUAACUCCAAGUUCGAUUUCGCUCGUGCCCACGCGUUCGUAGCAACGAGUGGUACAAGGAUACGCCAAGAAAACGGAUCUUACGUAACACGACAAAGCGGUCAACCAAAGUCAACGUUUUUGCCUCGAAGGGCAUUUUCCUAAAUUCACACAUUAAAAUUAUAAAAACCGUAAUAAUUGGGGACGGGUCGUUACAACAUCCGUAGAAAGAAAAAGUCAAGCCUAUAUUUGUCUCAACAUAGGUGAAAAUGAGCCGAAUCUGCAGAUAAAGAGAAACCAUGCACAUUCCAGUUUCCACAUAUCGAGUCCUCAACUGAAAAUAAACACACAAUAGGCAUCCAAAUGCCCAGAUCCAAGCUGAAACGAAAAAGGUCAAGUGGGUGUAAACACCAAGUCAAAGAGACUCCAUACUUUUGUAAGGAUGAUAACAUAUAGUUGUCUUCAAGCAAAGAGAAGCACGGAUAAAACAACAAACUUUCGAAUUUAUUGGUUUAGAAGAAAAAAAUGUGUAAACUAAAGCCUUUCUUUUUAAGGCUUGUCACUCCGAAAAAAUCAUUUGAAAUACAUACACAAGAGAGAUGGGAGCCUUGGUGUAUGAUGAUGGUCCAUGAGCUCCAACUUCAUAUAUUAUUAUUGGCAUAUUAUCUUAUUAGCAUAAAUCCAAAAGUUUUGAAUGCCUAUUUCUUGAAGCUACAUGAAUAUAAAUCCAAAACAACCUUGCAAAUCUUCUUUGUUAGACUUUUAUAACUCAGUCCUCACAUGGAUUCCCUCUUCCCAUAUCCCAUGUAAUAUUAUACUGUUCUUACACAUCCUUUCCUCGAACUCCAUCCCCAUGAUAUAUAUAUUAUUAAUGUUUGGGACCACAAAUUUGUAGAUCAAAGAUUUCAGUUUAACCAGUUGAAUUUUAAAUAUUUUUGGGGAAAUUAAUCAUGGGAAAGCAUGUGAGUUGUGGGUUGGGACCAAUGAGGCAAUGCCACACCUUUAAUCAAACACAUUAGGUAUGUGAUUAUUAACUAAUGAAUUGAGGGAGAGAAAUGGGGAGAUCCCAAGGAACAUAGGCAUUGAGCCUUUCGAUUAAUUGCAGCAUUGAUUAAGACAAAAAGGAUAUAAGUUCACGGGUCUAGUCGCCUGUUCCAGGAGAGAACUUGGAUGAAUCCCUCUGGAUGGGAGACAUCGAUGUAAAAAACUGUAAUGGCUUUCUCUAUGUAUGUGGGGGGUGAGUUUCAAUAUCAAUAGUCAAUGGAGAGUCAAUUUUACAUUGUCCCAAACCCUGACCAUAUGUCUGUCUAAUUACGAAGAUCAAGUACUAGCUAUAAUAUUGAUUUAGUGGUAUUUUUCUUAUUAAUAUCGAAAUGGUUUUUAAAUUCGAAUUUCUUACAUAAAUCAUUUUUUUUUUGAAUUGAAUAAAACCUUCAACGAGAGGUGAGCAAUUUUGAGUGACCUAAACGUUUCUUAAACUUUAGUCUAGGAUAAUCAAUAUUGUAAUAUUUGUAGGAGUUUUUUAUUAGCUCAAGUAGUUCUUUCGCACAUAUAACUAAAACUUCGAUGUUAAGGACUAGCUAAUUGAUCUGGAGGUACUCAGUCUCUGAUUUGCUAUAAUUGGAGGUCCUCAAUCUUUGUUGUGCAGCUAUGCUGAGUUGUUUUGAACUUAUUUUGUUGUGGAACAUAACUCAUUUUUACACGAUUUUGGGGAAUCUAGGACAUCCUAUCUGUCCUGUCCCCAUGAGUUGUUAAGGACUCGACACCAAAAAGUUCAUGGGCCAAUGGUAUCAAGUCAAGCCAAUAGGUUAAUUUGGUCAUGUCCAACCGAAUGAGGGCCAAAUGAUUCUCUUUAGCCCUAUAGUCAUCCACGAAAUUAUAUUUUAAUGAACAGUGUCAGACAAUAUUUCAUACCAUUUCCAACCGAAAGGGCCAAAUGGCCAUAGUGUAACAUCCCGCAUUGCCCAGGAAAAUGGAUCCUAUAAGCCUUAUAUGCAUAUUCCUAUCUCUACCUAACACGAGGCCUUUUGGGAGCUCACUGGCUUCGGGUUCCAUUGGAACUUCGAAGUUAAGCGAGUUCGCACGAGAGCAAUCCCAGGAUGGGUGACCCACUGGAAAGUUCUCAUGUGAGUUCUCAAAAACAAAACCGUAAGGGCGUGGUCGGGGCCCAAAGGGGACAAUAUCAUGCUACGGCGGAGUUGAGCCCGGGAUGUGGUGGGGGCCCGGGCCGGGAUGUGACAAUUUGGUAUCAGAGCUAAUCCCUAGCCGGAAGUGUGCCGACGAGGACGUCGGGCCCCUAAGGGGGGUGGAUUGUAACAUCCCACAUCGCCCAGGGAAAUGAAUCCUAUAAGCCUUAUAUGUAUAUUCCCAUCUCUACCUAGCACGAGGCAUUUUGGGAGCUCACUGGCUUCGGGUUCCAUCGAAACUCCGAAGUUAAGCGAGUUCGCACGAGAGCAAUCUCAGGAUGGGUGACUCACUAGGAAGUUCUCGUGUGAGUUUCCAGAAACAAAACCGUAAGGGCAUGGUUGGGGCCCAAAACAGACAAUAUCGUGCUACGACGGAGUUGAGCCCGGGAUGUGACACAUAGGCAAAACAUAGUCAUGUGACAAAAAAUCAUCUCCAACCGAAGGGGCCAAAGGGUCAUAGGCCAAACAUAAUUUAUUAUUUUAAUUGAGUUAAUAUUCUUAAUUAAAUUAAACUACCAUACUAAAAUAAGAUUUUCGAACAUAGGAAGAUUAUUGAAAGAGGUGGCCAUUUGAAAAUUAUUGAAAAAAAUUAAAGGAAAGAUUAUUGGAAGAGAAAAGAAUGUGAAGAAUUGAAAUAAAAUGAGGUAAGAUAAUAUGUAAUGGUGAAAAAUAUGUAAGAAAUGGUGUAGUAAAAAAAAAUUAGAAUUAAAAAAAAAAUCAUCCCAAAAAAAAAAGGGCUAGGCAAAAACAAAUUGUCCAAAAAAAAGUGGGCUGGGCAAAAAAAUCGUCCAAAAAAAAAGGGUUGGAUCAUCGGGCUAGUUGGCUGGUUGGAGAUGGCCAGCUCGUUGGCCUGAUUUGGUGAUUAUGGCCCGGUGGGGCCCACAAACUCUUUGGUCUAGCUCUUGGUUGGACACGAUUUUCGUGUCAUUUAGGACUAUUUUUAAUUUUUUUAGCCCUAUAACCCUUCGACCGGAUCGAUUGGAGAUGGCCUUAUAUGCGUAUUGCUUGGCCCUUUUUUCUUGUAUAUUACCCCAUAAUGUUUUUAUUUUGUCAUGAAUGAUAUAUAUUGGAAUUGGAGUUUCCCUAUCACCUUUUUCUCUUCUUCUCUUUGUGGGUAGCAAUAUCCCAUCUAUUUGCUUGUUUGGUGGUGUCUACAUGAAUUAGUGGGGUCCUGGUUCUCAACUCGUGAUUGCAUUGCACUAAUUUGACAAUUAUCUUUCAAUUGGCCUUUUACUCGAUCCUGUCUUGUGGUAUAAAGUUUCUAUGGUCCAUCUUUGCACCAUUUUAUUCUUGGGAACAAAAUUGUUUACGGCCAAAGGUGUAAGAUCACAAUUUUAAAAUUUAUAUAUAUAUAUAUAUAUAUAUUUUAUCUCCAAAGUUUUGUCUCAACUUUGUGGUUGUGGUUUCUUAGAAUACUUAUGGAAUAUUUGAUUAUUUAU